rnacentral:rRNA from 1 species
GACGAACGCGGCGGCGUGCCUAAUACAUGCAAGUAGAACGCUGAAGGAGGAGCUUGCUUCUCUGGAUGAGUUGCGAACGGGUGAGUAACGCGUAGGUAACCUGCCUGGUAGCGGGGGAUAACUAUUGGAAACGAUAGCUAAUACCGCAUAAUAGUAGAUGUUGCAUGACAUUUACUUAAAAGGUGCAAUUGCAUCACUACCAGAUGGACCUGCGUUGUAUUAGCUAGUUGGUGGGGUAACGGCUCACCAAGGCGACGAUACAUAGCCGACCUGAGAGGGUGAUCGGCCACACUGGGACUGAGACACGGCCCAGACUCCUACGGGAGGCAGCAGUAGGGAAUCUUCGGCAAUGGACGGAAGUCUGACCGAGCAACGCCGCGUGAGUGAAGAAGGUUUUCGGAUCGUAAAGCUCUGUUGUAAGAGAAGAAACGAGUGUGAGAAGUGGAAAAGUUUCAACAACUGGG